CCUACGGGUGGCAGCAGUGAGGAAUCUUGGGCAAUGGGGGCAACCCUGACCCAGCAACGCCGCGUGGAGGAUGACCUCCUUCGGGACGUAAACUCCUUUUCAGGGGGAGCAGCAAGGAGAGUACCCCUGGAACAAGUCACGGCUAACUACGUGCCAGCAGCCGCGGUAACACGUAGGUGGCAAGCGUUAUCCGGAUUUACUGGGCGUAAAGGGUCCGCAGGUGGUCUGGCAGGUCUGCUGUGAAAGCGCCCGGCUCAACUGGGCGAGGCCAGUGGAAACCGCCAGGCUAGAGUCGCGCAGAGGGUUCUGGAAUUCCCGGUGUAGUGGUGGAAUGCGUAGAGAUCGGGAGGAACACCAGAGGCGUAAGCGAGGACCUGGGCGACGACUGACACUGAGGGACGAAAGCGUGGGGAGCAAACAGGAUUAGAUACCCCUGUA
rnacentral:rRNA from 1 species